rnacentral:rRNA from 1 species
GACGAACGCUGGCGGCGUGCCUAAUACAUGCAAGUCGAACGGAGUGGGGACGGGUGAGUAACAUGGGGGUAACCUCCCAUCAGAGGGGAUAACACUUGGAAACAGGUGCUAAACUGAUACUGAUGGAUGGACCCGCGGUGCAUUAGCUAGUUGGUGAGGUAACGGCUCACCAAGGCCAAGAUGCAUAGACGGCCUGAGAGGGUGUUCGGCCACACUGGGACUGAGAAACGGCCCAGACUCCUACGGGAGGCAGCAGUAGGGAAUCUUCGGCAAUGGGCGAAAGUCUGACCGAGCAACGCCGCGUGUGUGAAGAAGGUUUUCGGUUUGUAAAACUCUGUUGUUAGAGAAGCGUUAUCUAACCAGAAAGCCACGGCUAACUACGUGCCAGCAGCCGCGGUAAUUC